rnacentral:rRNA from 1 species
CUGGCGGGGUGCUAAUAAUGCAGUCGAGCGAACCGAUUAAAAGCUUGCUUUUAUGAGGUUAGCGGCGGACGGAUGAGUAACACGUGGGCAACCUGCCCUAUAGACUGGGAUAACUCGCGGAAACGCGUGCUAAUACCGGAUAAUACAAUGAAGUGCCUGCUUCAUUGUUGAAAGAUGGCUUUUGCUAUCACUAUAGGAUGGGCCCGCGGCGCAUUAGCUAGUUGGUGGGGUAACGGCCUACCAAGGCGACGAUGCGUAGCCGACCUGAGAGGGUGAUCGGCCACACUGGGACUGAGACACGGCCCAGACUCCUACGGGAGGCAGCAGUAGGGAAUCUUCCACAAUGGACGGAAGUCUGAUGGAGCAACGCCGCGUGAGCGAAGAAGGUCUUCGGAUCGUAAAGCUCUGUUGUAAGGGAAGAAUAAGUACAGUAGUAACUGGCUGUACCUUGACGGUACCUUACGAGAAAGCCACGGCUAACUACGUGCCAGCAGCCGCGGUAAUACGUAGGUGGCAAGCGUUGUCCGGAAUUAUUGGGCGUAAAGCGCGCGCAGGCGGCCUUUUAAGUCUGAUGUGAAAGCCCCCGGCUUAACCGGGGAGGGUCAUUGGAAACUGGGAGGCUUGAGUGCAGAAGAGGAAAGUGGAAUUCCAAGUGUAGCGGUGAAAUGCGUAGAGAUUUGGAGGAACACCAGUGGCGAAGGCGACUUUCUGGUCUGUUACUGACGCUGAGCGCGAAAGCGUGGGGAGCAACAGGAUUAGAUACCCUGGUAGUCCACGCCGUAAACGAUGAGUGCUAGUGUUAGGGGGUUUCCGCCCCUUAGUGCUGCAGCUAACGCAAUAAGGCACCUCCCGCCUGGGGGGAGUU